rnacentral:rRNA from 1 species
AUGCAUCCGACGGAGAGUUUGAUCAAACUAUUCAGUGAGUGGGAAAUCCAGCUACUUGUGCUCCUCAGCUUCACACUACAAUUGUUCCUCUUCUUUACUGGUAGCCUUCGGCGCAAUGGCACCAGCGGGUUCCUAAGGCUCUCCAUUUGGGCAGCUUACUUGGGGGCAGACUUAGUAGCAGUUUAUGCCCUUGGCCUUCUCUCACGACAUGAGGAUAUCACCACCACUGAAUGGCACAUGCAACUACUGGCUUUCUUUUGGGCACCAUUCCUCCUCAUCCAUCUUGGUGGGCAGGACACCAUUACUGCUUUUGCCAUGGAGGACAACAACUUGUGGUUGAGGCAUUUGUUGAAUCUGGUGGUGCAAGUUCUCUUAGCUCUAUAUGUUUUCUGGAAGUCCAUUGGAAGGCACAACGUGGAGCUUCUAGUCUCGGGUAUCUUUGUGUUUGUUGCUGGAGUUGUCAAGUAUGGAGAAAGAACAUGGUCUCUCAGGUGUGGAAGCCUCGAGAGCUCAACUGGGCAUCAUUACAUCAAACUAUUUCCUGAAGAAAUCAAUGUCGUAGAUGCUGGCUAUUCUAGCAUUGUUUGUGCUGCCCUAGAUUCGAUGCCAUAUAUUCUUGGUAUAUUUUCAGCGAGCAGCCUGUUUGCCACAAGCCCCUUGAGUGAAGACACACUACGAGACCCGGACAAAAUGCUCAAGGUGGUGAGGCUUGAACUUGGCAUGAUGUAUGACGAUCUCUACACUAAGGCUGUUGUGCUAAGAACAAGGAGUGUCAUCAUACUUAGAUGCAUUUCUCAGAUAUCUUUUUUUGUCUCUUUUGCUCUCUUCCACGCAGACGAUAAGCGGAGGUAUAGUAGAGGCGACACUGCAAUCACUUAUACACUAUUUUUUGGAGGUUUUUUACUAGAAGUCUGUGCGAUGUUUGUUUUCAUGAUGUCACCAUGGACAUGGGCAUGGUUGAAGGUUAAAAAGUGCAACAGGCUUGCCAAAUUGUCCUGGUUUAUUUUUUCCACUAAUAUUGGAUGGCCGGAGAAGAAUCAACGCUGGCCAAAUUUGAUGGGACAGUACAACUUUCGAAGCUGGUUGAGUGGCAACGAUCUGCAGCCAAGGACAUGCAAGCAACGAGUCAUGGCUGUGGUCAAAAGGUUAUUUAUGUAUUUGUUCUGUGCCGAAAAGAAAAAUAUAUUCUGGAUGAGCAAGCUGUUAGACACCGAGUACGUGAAUGUGGAUAAGAUGAUGAUGGAGUGUGUUGCAAAGGAGAUAUGUCUCUUACAUGAUGAAUUCCCCAUUGGAGAUUCCCCCACUAAACAGCCCCCACACAAGAAGGGACGCCGAGAAUGGCAAAGUAUUCAACCGCUGUUGACAAGAACAGAAACUGAUUUAGUUACUGAUUUUGGUUGUGGUAUUUCGGAAAUGCAUAUGCUGACUGAGCUACACUUAAGUAAAUAUCCUCCUCCGUCAGACAUGGAGGCCAAUAAUGCUGGUAUGGUGGAGGUAUGCCGAAAGCUAUCCCACUACAUGAUGUACCUUUUGGUUACUCACCCUUCCAUGCUGCCCCUCAAUAUUAGCGCGGAAGCUACGCUGGAGAGAUAUCAGGUGGAUCCUAGAGUAAUCGAGCAAGAUCUGAUGGCCAAGGAGGAAGGGAAGGAGCCAAGCAAGGAAGUAUUGGAGAGGAUGGAGCCAAGCAAGGAAGCAUUGGAGGGGUUGGUACACAUGUGGACAAGGCUCCUUCUUUACGCCGCUGGCAAAUCGAGGGUGGAGAUGCACAAGACGCAGUUGAGCAGAGGAGGGGAGCUCAUCACCUUCGCCUGGCUGUUCAUGGCCCACUAUGGGCUGGGGGAUUCCCAGCUUAGAAGGAUUCAAAUUACCAAUGACGAAACCAAGACCGUAUGUCCAAGCGUGCCACAGAUAUACGCCUUCUAUGAUCCAAAUUAUUCGACAGGCAGUGAUGAAUCGUCAUGCUCUCAAGAUGCCGACGUGCCGUCCAGCCCCUCCGAAUGUCGUCAUGCUGAGGAUGCCGUCGAGCCUCUCCGCACGUCGUCAAGCUCCCAGCAUGCCAACGUGUCGUCAGGCUCCUCCGCAUGCCAUGCAUCAAGCUCCCAAGAGUCCGUCUGUCGUGCCGUCAAGCCUGUGGCACCCCCGACGUACCUGUUAGAAAUCAACGACCGCUAG